GGGUCCAAACCGGGAACAUUAAAAAUUUUCCAAAUACUUAAACAAAUUAAAAAUAAUUUAUUUCACUGUUCACAAUAAAACUAUCUGACUGCGCAACAGUCACUAAAUUAAUUAUAAAUCGAGUUACGAAACUCGAAAUUUAAAUCCAUAAAUUUUUCCUAAAACUAGACUCAUAUAUCUUAUUAUCAUAAAAUUUUUAGAAUUUUUGGGUUGGCCAAUUG
rnacentral:lncRNA from 1 species